rnacentral:rRNA from 1 species
UAGUGGCGCACGGGUGCGUAACGCGUAACCAACCUACCCACAUCUGGGGGAUAGCCCGCCGAAAGGCGGAUUAAUACCGCAUAAGCUACUUGACCGGCAUCGGUUGGAUAGUAAAGAUUUAUUGGAUGUGGAUGGGGUUGCGUGCCAUUAGCUAGUUGGGGGGGUAACGGCCCACCAAGGCGACGAUGGCUAGGGGAGCUGAGAGGCUGGUCCCCCACACGGGCACUGAGAUACGGGCCCG